rnacentral:rRNA from 2 species
AGCAUCCGUAGCCGGCUGCUCAAGUUUCCGGUUAAAUCCACACGCUUAACGUAUGGGCUGCCGGAAAUACUGUUCAGCUAGGGAGUGGGAGAGGUAGACGGUACUCGAUAGGAAGGGGUAAAAUCCUUUGAUCUAUUGAUGACCACCUGUGGCGAAGGCGGUCUACCAGAACACGUUCGACGGUGAGGGAUGAAAGCUGGGGGAGCAAACCGGAUUAGAUACCCGGGUAGUCCCAGCUGUAAACGAUGCAGACUCGGUGAUGCAUUGGCUUAUGGCCAGUGCAGUGCCGCAGGGAAGCCGUUAAGUUUGCCGCCUGGGAAGUACGUACGCAAGUAUGAAACUUAAAGGAAUUGGCGGGGGAGCACAAG